rnacentral:rRNA from 1 species
AGUGGCGCACGGGUGCGUAACACGUGGCUGACCUGCCGCCAAGAGGGGGAUAACCGCCCGAAAGGGUGGCUAAGCCCGCAUAAGCUCACAGUCUCUAGAGGACGGUGAGAAAAGGCCUUGGUGCUUGGCGAGGGGGCUGCGGCUCAUCAGGUAGAUGGUGGGGUAACGGCCUACCAUGCCGACGACGAGUAGGGGGUCUGAGAGGAUGAUCCCCCACACUGGGACUGAGACACGGCCCAGACUCCUACGGGAGGCAGCAGUGAGGAAUAUUGCACAAUGGGGGCAACCCUGAUGCAGCGACGCCGCGUGGGUGAUGAAGGGCUUCGGCUCGUAAAACCCUUUUCUGUGUGACGAGCAAGGACGGUAGCACAGGAAGAAGCCUCGGCUAACUACGUGCCAGCAGCCGCGGUAAAACGUAGGAGGCAAGCGUUAUCCGGAGUGACUGGGCGUAAAGAGCGUGUAGGCGGUUCUACAAGUGAGUUGUGAAAGCGGUCGGCUCAACCGGGCGAGGCCAAUUCAGACUGUAGGACUGGAGGACGGCAGAGGAGUGUGGAAUUCCGGGUGUAGCGGUGAAAUGUGUAGAGAUCCGGAGGAACACCAGAGGUGCAGACGACGCUCUGGGCCGUACCUGACGCUGAGACGCGAAAGCGUGGGGAGCCAACGGGAUUAGAGACCCCGGUAGUCCACGCCGUAAACGAUGCGAACUAGGUGUCC